UAGCGGCGGACGGGUGAGUAACACGUGGGUAACCUGCCUGUAAGACUGGGAUAACUCCGGGAAACCGGGGCUAAUACCGGAUGGUUGUUUGAACCGCAUGAUUCAAACAUAAAAGGUGGCUUCGGCUACCACUUACAGAUGGACCCGCGGCGCAUUAGCUAGUUGGUGAGGUAACGGCUCACCAAGGCAACGAUGCGUAGCCGACCUGAGAGGGUGAUCGGCCACACUGGGACUGAGACACGGCCCAGACUCCUACGGGAGGCAGCAGUAGGGAAUCUUCCGCAAUGGACGAAAGUCUGACGGAGCAACGCCGCGUGAGUGAUGAAGGUUUUCGGAUCGUAAAGCUCUGUUGUUAGGGAAGAACAAGUACCGUUCGAAUAGGGCGGUACCUUGACGGUACCUAACCAGAAAGCCACGGCUAACUACGUGCCAGCAGCCGCGGUAAUACGUAGGUGGCAAGCGUUGUCCGGAAUUAUUGGGCGUAAAGGGCUCGCAGGCGGUUUCUUAAGUCUGAUGUGAAAGCCCCCGGCUCAACCGGGGAGGGUCAUUGGAAACUGGGGAACUUGAGUGCAGAAGAGGAGAGUGGAAUUCCACGUGUAGCGGUGAAAUGCGUAGAGAUGUGGAGGAACACCAGUGGCGAAGGCGACUCUCUGGUCUGUAACUGACGCUGAGGAGCGAAAGCGUGGGGAGCGAACAGGAUUAGAUACCCUGGUAGUCCACGCCGUAAACGAUGAGUGCUAAGUGUUAGGGGGUUUCCGCCCCUUAGUGCUGCAGCUAACGCAUUAAGCACUCCGCCUGGGGAGUACGGUCGCAAGACUGAAACUCAAAGGAAUUGACGGGGGCCCGCACAAGCGGUGGAGCAUGUGGUUUAAUUCGAAGCAACGCGAAGAACCUUACCAGGUCUUGACAUCCUCUGACAAUCCUAGAGAUAGGACGUCCCCUUCGGGGGCAGAGUGACAGGUGGUGCAUGGUUGUCGUCAGCUCGUGUCGUGAGAUGUUGGGUUAAGUCCCGCAACGAGCGCAACCCUUGAUCUUAGUUGCCAGCAUUCAGUUGGGCACUCUAAGGUGACUGCCGGUGACAAACCGGAGGAAGGUGGGGAUGACGUCAAAUCAUCAUGCCCCUUAUGACCUGGGCUACACACGUGCUACAAUGGACAGAACAAAGGGCAGCGAAACCGCGAGGUUAAGCCAAUCCCACAAAUCUGUUCUCAGUUCGGAUCGCAGUCUGCAACUCGACUGCGUGAAGCUGGAAUCGCUAGUAAUCGCGGAUCAUCAUGCCGCGGUGAAUACGUUCCCGGGCCUUGUACACACCGCCCGUCACACCACGAGAGUUUGUAACACCCGAAGUCGGUGAGGUAACCUUUUAGGAGCCAGCCGCCGAAGGUGGGACAGAUGAUUAGGGUGAAGACGUAACAAGGGGUUAACGGGAAAA
rnacentral:rRNA from 1 species